rnacentral:rRNA from 1 species
CGCCUCUUGCAUUCUAUGUAUAGGAGGUCCCGCCUGCCCUGUGACUAUAUGUUUAACGGCCGCGGUAUUUUGACCGUGCAAAGGUAGCGCAAUCACUUGUCUUUUAAAUAAAGACCUGUAUGAAUGGCAUGACGAGGGCUUAACUGUCUCCUUCUCCCGGUCAAUGAAAUUGAUCUCCCCGUGCAGAAGCGGGGAUAUUAUUAUAAGACGAGAAGACCCUGUGGAGCUUUAAAUGAUGAGAGAUUUUAUGCAACAAACCUAAAAAGGUAUAAGCGAAUUUAUACUCCCUCUAAUAUUUUUGGUUGGGGCGACCGCGGAGUAAAAAGAAACCUCCGUGAGGAAUGAGGUAAUUAACCUUAAAUCCCAGAACGACAAUUCAAAGAAACAAAAUUUUUGACCUAAAGAUCCGGCAAAGCCGAUCAACGAACCUAGUUACCCCAGGGAUAACAGCGCAAUCCCCUUCAAGAGUCCCUAUCGACAAGGGGGUUUACGACCUCGAUGUUGGAUCAGGAUAUCCUAAUGGUGUAGCCGCUAUUAAGGGUUCGUUUGUUCAACGAUUAAAAUCCU